CGUAGGCAGGGGGAACGGGGCUCAGGCAGCAGGCGCACGGGCGCCAUGAGCGAGGCGGAUGGGCUGCGGCAGCGCCGGCCCGUGCGGCCGCAGGUUGUCACGGACGAUGCCCGGGUCCUGGAGGCCAAGGGCGGCAGCUCCUUCAGUGGCAGAGUGUUCCGAGCCACCUUCCUGAUGCUGGCUGUGUUCCUCACCGUCCCCCUGCUUGGUGCCAUGAUGCUGCUGGACUCUCCCAUAGACCCACAGCCUCUCAGCUUCAAAGAACCCCCGCUCUUGCUUGGUGUCCUGCAACCAAAUACGAAGUUGCGACAGGCGGAAAGGCUUUUUGAAAAUCAGCUUGUUGGGCCAGAGUCCAUAGCACAUAUCGGGGAUGUAAUGUUCACUGGUACAGCAGAUGGCCGAGUCGUAAAACUUGAAAACGGUGAAGUAGAGACCAUCGCCCGGUUUGGCUCAGGCCCAUGCAAAACCCGAGAUGAUGAGCCUGCUUGUGGGAGACCCCUGGGCAUCCGGGCCGGGCCCAACGGGACCCUUUUUGUGGCUGAUGCAUACAAAGGGCUAUUUGAAGUAAAUCCCUGGAAACGUGAAGUAAAACUGCUGCUGUCCUCCGAGACACCCAUUGAGGGGAGGAAAAUGUCCUUUGUGAAUGAUCUUACAGUAACUCGGGACGGGAGGAAGAUUUAUUUUACGGAUUCUAGCAGCAAAUGGCAAAGACGAGAUUAUCUGCUGCUGGUGAUGGAGGGGACAGAUGAUGGUCGCCUGCUGGAGUACGACACUGAGACCAAGGAGGUAAAGGUUUUGCUGGACCACUUGCGGUUUCCCAACGGGGUACAGCUCUCACCUGCGGAGGACUUUGUCCUGGUGGCGGAAUUGACCAUGGCGAGGAUCAGGAGGUUCUACGUGUCUGGCCUGAUGAAGGGAGGGGCCGACCUGUUUGUGGAGAACUUGCCUGGAUUCCCAGACAACAUCCGAGCCAGCAGCUCCGGGGGUUACUGGGUCGGCAUGUCGACCAUUCGCUCCAAUCCUGGGUUUUCCAUGUUGGAUUUCUUAUCUGAGAGACCGUAUCUUAAAAGAAUGAUUUUUAAGCUGUUCAGCCAGGAGACGGUGAUGAAGUUCGUGCCGCGGUACAGCCUCGUCCUGGAGCUCAGUGACAGCGGGGCCUUCCGGAGGAGCCUGCACGACCCUGAUGGGCAGGUGGCUGCUUACGUGAGCGAGCAGCACCACCAGGAAUGGCAGAAGAGGAAACGGAGGCUCACAGAGGACCAGUGACAUACACAAGCCUAGUUAUGACUGUCCAGGCCUUGUGCCAGCUCCUCGGGUUCAGCUUUGGAUCUGUCCCUGCCUCUGCGUGUAGGUCGCCUGAGUGCGUCUUUUGGGAGGUCUGAGGUCUUCUGCCAGCAUUCAGAAGAAGAAGCGCCCUGUCUGCUGAGAGGAGUUCCGUUCGGCCUCUGAACCUCAGUUUCCCUGUUUGUGAAUCAGAGAACUAAUUCCCACCCUCCCGCGUCACAGGGCCUUUCUCAAGAGGACCAGAUUUAAUCAGAUUCAAUAAUCUAUGUAAACACUUACUGCUUCCCCAAUGACUGAUGCUGAGGGAAUAAACAAACUCGUAAAAUAA